rnacentral:sRNA from 1 species
GUGGGUGCGGAAACUGGAACUGAAGGUACAGAAA